rnacentral:rRNA from 1 species
GAUGAACGCUGGCGGCGUGCCUAAUACAUGCAAGUCGAGCGAACAGACGAGGAGCUUGCUCCUCUGACGUUAGCGGCGGACGGGUGAGUAACACGUGGAUAACCUACCUAUAAGACUGGGAUAACUUCGGGAAACCGGAGCUAAUACCGGAUAAUAUAUUGAACCGCAUGGUUCAAUAGUGAAAGACGGUUUUGCUGUCACUUAUAGAUGGAUCCGCGCCGCAUUAGCUAGUUGGUAAGGUAACGGCUUACCAAGGCAACGAUGCGUAGCCGACCUGAGAGGGUGCUCGGCAACACUGGAACUGAGCCACGGCCCGGCCCCAUACGGGGGGAGGCAGGAGGGAUUCCUCGGCAAGGGCCGAAGGUUUGAGGGAGCAGCCCCGCGGGAGUGAGAAAGGUUUUCGGACCGUAAAACUCUUUUAUUGGGGAAAAAAAAAUUUGUAAGUAACUAUGCCCGUCUUGACGGUACCUAAUAAGAAAGCCCCGGCAAACUACGUC